rnacentral:lncRNA from 1 species
UGCUUGUUGAAACCCUGCUCAUCCUUCAGGCUGCCUCAAAACUUUUGUGGAAGAAGGUAGGGAACACAUAUCUCUUCUUUUGUCCAGCCUUCCUUGAUUAGCCUUCUUCCUCUCCCUUCUACCCAUUGUACAUGGUUUCUGUUGCCAUGUAGUGGUUAAAUCUGGUUUACGUUGUAGUUGUUUGUGUGUAAGGAGGUCUCCUACACCGGGCCAUGUUUUCUUAAACACUGGGAUGGUGUUUUCUUAGUGCUUGUGAUGUUCUUUGUAACAGUGGGUGCCCUAUAACUUUUGUUUGGACUGAAUUAAAGAAAAAAAAGAAAUCGACUUUAGUAGGAGCCGGCCUUUGAGUGAUAAAGAUACAUUGAGGGAACUCUGUACAUCCCCAAGAUCGUGGCCAGUUGCCAGGCUCCAUUUGGAUUAUGGGAGAGCUUAACCCCAUAUUUCAGGGCAGAUAUUUAGGUGUGUGUAUGAGCUGUAGUUGGUGAAUACUCAUUUUUGACCAAAGAAGAUACUGGUUUGUUUUCCAGGUGUUGCUGUGACUUCCGUUUCUGUAAAUUCCGUGGGAUGUAUUUUGCCACCAACUGCCUAGCAGUUUAUGAAAUGGUGAACUGGACGGGGGCCUUUCUGCAUCCACAUUGCUCUCAUUAAAGUGACCCCUGCUUUCCUCUGGCCCUCUUGAAGUGUAUCUAGUUUAGAACUUCUUAUUAGUCUGUGGUCUUAAGAUCUUUGUCAUCUUAGGCAUAGGCUCAAAGGAAUUAAACUUGGGUUUUGAUUAGUGAACUUGAGCCAGUUAGCUGGUGGACUGGAUGUUAUUCAGGCAUAAACUUACUCCUAUGUAGUUUCUAGAAGUUUCACAGUAGUCAGCAAAUGCCCUACACUGAGGUUUUACUCUUUUUAUUUUGCAG